rnacentral:lncRNA from 1 species
CACCAACUCAUGAUGUGAUAUCUGUUUUGAGUGUAUAUAGUUUACUUAGUACAGAAUCUUCAAAUAUGUCCUCAAAAGCACAUAAUCUGUGAGAAGUAAAGCCUCAUUGAUAUUCGUGUCAUCUCUUUUGGGAAAUUUGGGAGUAGGGAUAGGUGUAUGCCUAUUUUCUUAAAAAGUCAAAAGAGAAAAAUCCUCAGAGAUCUUUGUGUGUUUUCCCCACUUUCAGGUUGCCAACUUGGCCUGUUCCAUCUCAAACAAUGAAGAAGGAGUAAAGCUUGUUCGAAUGUCUGCAAGCCAGUUAGAAGCCCUCUGUCCUCAGGUAAAGUACAGCUGGAAAUGGUUAUGAUGUCACCAAAUUGGAUUUUAUUAGAAUGGAAAUGAAGUUUAAGGUCUUUCUUUUCCUUUUCCUUCUCCUUCUCUUCCCCUUUCUUCUUUCUUUCUACCCUCACUCCUAGAAUUUUAAAUAGAAGUCUUGGAGUUGAGUCACUGGCAUAAAUGCUAUAUAGAUUGGAGACGUUUAUGUUUAAGUGUUUCCUCUUGGCAUUACUACCUCCUUGCCCUACAUUAAAAAUGCAUAGUCUUGUUGGACUCACAUGCUUAUCUAGUACAUGCAAAGAAGGCCCCGGCAUUGAGUGGUGGAAAAUACACACAUCUACAUAAGUAAAUAUAUGCAUAGUGUCCUCAAUUUCUGGAGAGUGAUUACACUGCUCAGUUGAUUACCUUUUCAGCAGGAAUGGGGGUGGGGGCACCUGCAACAUCAAACUGGAACCAUAAUGGUUCCUCUUAUCCUUAAGUGGUAACAGUUGUUCGUUCACCUGCAUUCAAUAUCUAUUGAAGGAAACCACAUUGGAAAGCUUGUCUUCUUGCACUAAAUGUCUUAAAGCAGCCUAUGAUACAAUUUAAUUCAGCUAGCCCCUAAAAUAAAAGAUCAAGAACUUUUCUACAUUCAUAAAGGCAUAUUGGAAGACAGGUAAUUAGGCUAAGCAUGUGGCACUUUAGAAAGACUGAAGAACAUAGAGCAUUGAAUGCUUUGUGUGUUUAUGUGUUACUGGGCAUUGAACCCAGGGGUGCUGUACUACUCAGCUCUCUCCCACAUCCCUAUUUUUCAUUUUGAGAGUCUUGAUAGGUUUCCAAGGCUAGCUUUGAGACUUGAAUCCUUCUGCCUCAGCCUUCUGAGUUGUUGAGAUUAUAGGUGAGCUCCACCAGGCAUGGCACAAAUGUUUUAUUAAGUACCCAGUGUGUUGCCUGUUUCCCAUGAUAGAGCUCACCUUGUCUGUGUGAUUCCUGUCAUUCAGAUUUCUAAGCAGUAUAAGUGUUUCAGUGGAAGUGGUUGCCUUCCCUUUUUCUCAAGUAGAGAAUGUUCAUGGCAUACUCUGAGGAUUUACAUUAACCUCUCACUGCAUGUCCUGCCAGCUGGCAGUGAUCACUAACAAAUGGGAAUAAGCAGAGGAACUGGAGUAAUAAGACAGUGAUCAUAGAAAUGACACUAUUACUUUGACUCUUUCCUAUAAAUAAAUAUUCGCUUGAACCCAAGAUGGUUAGUUUUCCAAUGAUUUUUUUUUUUUUGUCUUAGUGUGAUGUCUGGCUUUCCAUAGCUUUAAUCCAGUCAUGAAAUAUGCCAGUGAUUGAUACUGUACAGAUAAUAAGUGCAGUGGUGUUAAUCACCACCAAGUUGUAUGAAAUAAAUUUAGAUUGGAUUUCUAAAGAUUGGGCAUUCUUUCUUCAAAUUUGCCAUUUUACCCUAUCAACAUUUUGUUUUUAAUAUCUUUGGGUUCUCCGUUUGGUUUUGAAAUGCGUGAAAAGUGACAAUGCUUCCACAUAUCUGCAGAAACAGAUGGUAACAUAACGCUGAUCACACCUACCAAGAGUAUUUAUAUAAAUGAUCUUAAAGUUUAGGGGGAAAAAAAAUCACAUGAAGUGUCUAGUAUAUCCUAAUGAAAAUGCUAGUGUCCAUAAACCGUGUGUGACUAGCCCAUGUGCCGUUUUUACUUUGCUGCCAGAAAGCCUCAUUUCUCCCUCUUUUUGCAGUUUUCAUGUCUUCUACUAAACCAGGCAUCAGGAGGAAUGGGCUUUAAACUGUGUCCAGAAAACACUUGGUAUUGGGUAUAUGAUCUGGAUAAAAAGAUGUUCUCCAGAUGUGAUUGUUUUCCAGAUUCUUACUAGGCCUGUUCCUGCCCUUGUUCACAAACUGCCAUGCACUUAGGGCUGAGGCAGGUUCAGUGGGUGUUCACAGUUUUGGUAAUGGCAAACUGAACAGGAUGGGUCAUUUGAUUUUCAGUGAGGAAGCUGUGACUCUAGCCCAUUAUUGACAGAUCCUUUCAUUAUUCUGAAAGAUCUGUCAGCAAUUCAAAUUACUAGUCUCAGUAUUGAACGAUUGAUAGCCUAAAGCUUUGAAAAUCUUUGAGGGUAGUAAGUCUUAAUCUUCUGUGAGCUACACCUGACCUAGCCUUACCCAUGGAUUUAUGCUUCAAGGAGGUGUUUGUAGGAUUGAAGGGAAGGUAUGAAACAAUUACUCAUUUAGAGUCCAGGCAUGAGGAGAUGGGGAGAAUAACCAGACUAAGUAAAUGUAGUUCUCUUGCUUCUCCAUGUUUGAGUCCACUUGAAGUUGAAUGAUGAAGAAUUUUAAAGUGAAACCCAUUUAGCAUGGUUAAAUGCAGAAAACCAUGAGUUUUAUUUUGCACAUGUUCAGUUUGAAAUAUCUAUGCUAUAUAGGCAGAAAUAUUAGGAUAUACUUGGGAUAUGAAUUGGGAAUUGCAAUGAUUGGUCUAAGUGGGAGAUAGGGGAAUACUUGGCAUAUGGGUGGUAUUUAAAAUCAUGAGACUAGAUAAAAUUGCUUAAGAUGGGAGGAGUGUAGAAAAAAGAGAAAAGCCAGUCCAGGAACUCUAACACUACCUGUUGAAAGAAGUCAAGAUAGCAAGGGAGACAUAGAAGAAAUAGAAGUAAUACAUAUUUUAUUUAGAAACUAUCAAGUUAUAAAAUAAAGAUACCUCUAAUCUCUCUAUUCUGAAGGCAAACAAGGAAUGGAAGAGAAAUUCCUCAGCCUGUUAAAGGAUAUCUAUGAAAAAUUGAUAGAUUUUGAUCUACAACUUCAAAUUUAAUAGUCUAAGACUGGGUACUUGGGCUGGGGUUGUGGCUCAGUGGUAGAGGGCUUGCCUUGCACAUGUGAGGCCCUGGGUUCCAUCCUCGGCACCACAUAAAUAAAUAAAGAUAUUGUGUUCAUCCACAACUAAAAAAUAUUUUAAAAAAGACUGGGUGCUUAACUUUAUGAUCAGAAAAAAGACAAGGAUAUUCACCCUUGUCAGUUGUAAAACAUUGUACUGGGAGUUCUACCAGUAGCUGUGUUUUGAAAAUUGACACCAAUACAGACAUUUGUGCCUAGUUUUAUACCCUUUGCAAAUUUGUAUUUCUUUCCCUCAGACCCCCAGAUGUUUCCUAGUCAUUACUACUUCACAUUAGAAUGCAGUCCAUGUCUCUCCUUGUUUUUUUACUGGUAUUUUGGUGUUCUUCGUACUGACUUAUCUGUAUAUUUAAUCUGACAUAUAUGUUUAAAUGCAUAACUCAAUCAGAAUUAUAUAUUGACGGAUCCCAUUGUAACUUAGAAAUAGAGAAUUUCCUAAAGACAAAUAUAUGUUUAAAUAUUAAUAAAUAAAUUUAUAUAGUUUUGUUGUUUUUAGGUUUAAUUCAUUAUCUGGAAACAAUCUUAGCACAUAAAAGAAAUAAGCAAUGAUGAACUUAGUGCAUAUGAUAUAUAUGUGUAUGUGAUUCAGCACAUAAAUGAAGUAGAUAAUAAAGUAUUAAGUGAAGACAUAAUUUUAUUUUUCUCUAAAAAAUAAAAGAUCAUAUGUAAAAAUAAUGCACCUGUUCCCCACUGAUUUAUGAUGUCACUUUUAUCAUACAUAAACUUUGCCAAUGAUAGUGUCUGUUUUUUUUGAUACUAUUCUGAUCACUUUAGUUUUAUAAUGCUUUUGAACUCCCUUUUCAUUACUGUUGCUUUCUGUCCUCAAGAUUUUCUUGGCUAUUGUCAGCCAUUUAUUUUCAUAUUAAUUUGUGGAUAAAUAUGUCAGUCUUCCUAUCCCUGAAUGAGUUUCCAUUUAUUUUAGUUUGUUUAAUAUACCUUAGAAAAGUUGAGCUACUUGAUUUUUACUUUGUCAUGCUGGUUUCUUGAUAGAUUGAAUUCCAUGUAUUUCAUUAUUAAUUGCUUUUGUGGAGAUCUGACACUCCUUCUCAUUUUAUAUUUUGUUAUUUUUUGAUAAUGUAGAAAGGCUGUUGAUUUUUAAGAUAUCUAUACUGUCUCUAGAAAUUCUAAGAGUUUUUUUUUUCCAUUGAUACACUUCAGUUUGCUACAUAAAGAUAAAAUCUGUGUUCAACAGUAAUUUUCUCACCUCCUAUUUCUAACAGCUUUUUUUUGGCAUUUCCAUUUCUCAUUUAUUGACUAGAAAGUCCAUUUACUUAUUAUUUAACUAAUGGUGACAGCAGGUAUUCUUAUUAAUACCAUUUUGAUUUUUAAGGUAAUUGGUGCUUGAGUUUUAUGACCAUAUCAUGUUGGACAAUUACUUAAAAUAGUAUGUUAAUGAAGUAUCUUUCUAUUCCUAAUAGAAAGGAGUAAUUUUUACCAAACAUCUUUAAUAAGCAGUUUUAUAAUCAAAAGGAGAAUGUUAACUUCAGAUGAGGUGGAUCCCCAGUGUACAGUAUAUACAGUAGAAGAUAUAUCUCUUUAUAUUUAAAACAUAAUUCUCUGCCCAUGUAGGAAACAUUUUCUUCAGCUAAAUACUUGUAUGAUGUCUAGCUCAACUCAGAUACAUUGACAUGUUAGUGAAAUAAUGAGUUAAUGAAAACAGUAGUCCAUAGUGAAAAAAGAAGGGUAAGAAGGAAAAGCUAGAAAGAAUAAGCCUUGGAAUGAUGAAAAUGUGGGAGGCCACAGCAUAAUAUGGGCAAAGGCAGGCUAUCUCUUCCUCCAAAUUAUUGUCCAAACCCAGACACUUUUGAAAGGGGUGGGUCAUUAGUAAAUAAUAAGCUCAAAUGGCUUCAUUCCAAGUGUUUAGAGGGAAGAGGAGUAGUGCACCAGUCUAAUGGGUCUGAUUCUUCUUUAGUCUGUUAUCAUCUACAGCUUUUAUGAGCCAAGUUAAUAACUUGGUUCUUAAAUGCCCCUGCAAUAAAUUGGAACUUCUAUAUAUGAUCUGAAGUGAUAUGCUUCCUGUAGCACCUUAAAAAGCCAUCCCAAACUCUGUUCUCAGGUUUGCAUGCCUGUUGCCUGUAGCUUUCUGCCUUAUUCAGAUCCCUGUUUCAUUCCUUUCUACCAGUUUCCUCUUGUCUGUGCUUUCUUUCUAAGUUCCAUUACUUUAAACACAUUUAUUCCAUUAAUCCAUAAGUAUUCUUGUACCUAGAAGUCCAAUUAUUCUCAGUUCAUUUUGAUACUGCUCUCAUUGUUUAAUUAUUCAAUAUAUGAAAGAAUAUGAAUAGACAUACCCUAAAGAGUAUACACAAAUGGUUAAUAAGCACAUGAAAAAAAAAAAUCUAACACCAUUAGUCAUCAAGGAAAUGCAAGUGAGGUAAUUUUAUAUCCACUUUAUAAUUAACUUUAAAAUUAGGGGCGGGGUGGUAAAGAUAUGGGGCAUUAGAACCAUCAUCCUGGUGGGAAAAUAAAGUGGUACAGCCAUUUUGGAAAACAGUAAGGCAGUUCCUCAAAAGGUUAAAGGUAAACUUAACCAUAUGAUCCAGCAAUUCUGUUCCAUUCCCAGAGAAAUGAAAACUGACACAUAUAUAUGAAUGUUCAUGAAGUAUUAUUCAUUUGAUGAAUGGAUAAAUAAAUGUGACGUAUCCAUAUAUCAUAGAAUAUUACUUGUCAGAAAAGAAUUGAAGUACUGACAACAUGCUAAAACAUGAAUAAGCUUUCAAAACAUUUUGUUAAAGAAACUAAUUAUAGAAGUCCACAUAUUAUGUAAUUCUGUUUAUAUGAAAUGUCCAGAAUAGGCAAAUCCAUAGAGACAAGAGAGGAGGUUAGUGAUUGCCAGAAGAUGGCAGAAAGUAGUAUGAAGGGAAAUAAGGAAUUACUGCAAAUGUAUAUACAGGUUCUUUUUGGAGUGAUAAAAAUGUUCUAAAAUUGAAUGUGGUGAGUGUUGCAUAACUGACUAUACUAAAAAAUCAUUGAAUUUUAUAUUCCUUAAGUGGGCAAACCAUGAUUCAUGAAUUAUAUCUCAAUAAAACAUUGAAUAUGUUCACACAUGUGUGCACUGUGCAGUGCUGGGGAUUGAACCCAGCACCUUGUAUAUGCUAGGUACAUGUUCUGCUGAGCUAUCUUCUCAGUCCUAAAGAAUUUUUUUAACUUAGCAGAUUAUAUACUUUCCUAUGUAAUUUUUGUUGUUGUUAUGUCUUUUUUUUUCUUUUUGUACUGGAGAUUGAAUCCAGGGGCACUUUACCACUGAGCUAUAUCUCCAGUUCUUCUUAUUUUUUAAUUUGAGACAGAGUCUUGCUAAAUUGCUGAGUCUGGCCUCAUCUUGCAAUCCUCCUGCAUCAGCUUCCCAGGUGUUGGCAUUACAGGACUGCACCAUUGUGUCCGGCUCCGGGGUAGUUCUUUUAUGUUUUAAAUAUGCCUUUGUUAAAGACAAGCAGAGGAAAAAGGAAAUUGAAUAUAUUUUUAUGAACUAUACUUUGAUAGUGCAUCUACAACGUGAAAUGUUAGAUUUUCAUAACAAGAUUAUUAACUGGUGGUGAGAGAGUAAGCUAGAACAAGCUACUCUAUAGUAGAAGAAUAAUAUAGUAUACCUAUAAGAUGGAAUAAUAAACAGUUAAUAUUUUCAAUAUAUGUUUAAUGACAUGAAGAAAUACUUGAAAAAACAGGAUAGUCAUUUUUAUGUAGCAUAUAAUUUUCAUUAUGUAGUUCUUGAUGUGUCUACAUUGUGAACUGUGAGGAGAAAAAAAGCUGAAUUUAUUGUCAGAAUUAUAGAAUGAGUGGAGAGAUUAGAGGUACUUUUAAUUUAUUUAAAAUUGCACAUAGUUUCUGAACAAAAUAUGUGUAACUUUGACUUUAACAUAAAACCUAUUUAAUACUUCACCACUUCACCUUUGUAAUAGUUAUGGUGGAACAUAUGGUAUAAUGUGUCCUAGUGAAAUUCAUGUAAGACAAGGCCGUUGCCACUGUACUGACCAAAUUGUCCCAUCUGUUUCAUUUGCAUGAUUCUGAAAAAUAAAUAACUUUAAUAUUUUUUGUAGGUUAUUAAUGCUGCAUUGGCUUUAGCAGCAAAACCACAGAGUAAACUGGCCCAAGAGAACAUGGAUCUUUUUAAAGAACAGUGGGAAAAACAAGUCCGUGUUCUCACAGAUGCUGUUGAUGACAUUACUUCCAUUGAUGACUUCUUGGCUGUUUCAGGUAAUGAACUGGUUCCCCAGCAUAGCAUUUAAGGAUGUGCAUAAUUACUGGCAUCUAAUUUUACAGUAAUAGACAAAGUCCCCCAUGUCUGGGCAAGUAAAAUAAAUUAUUUUAGUAAUAAUAUUGUGUUAGUUUUCAUUUUAAUUUAAACAAACAAAGUACCACUGCCUCCUGAGUAAUAGAAGAUGGAAUUGGAGCUAUUUCCCUCAUGGUGGGGCUGAUGGAGAUCCUGGAAGCAAGAGUUAGAAAGCUGUCUGAGACUUUCUCUGCUUUCAUAGAGUAAAAUCCUUCUUUAACUGUAACUUGUCAAGCACAGUAACCACCCUUCUUGCUGCUACUGUGUUUAGAAAAAUUUUUGACCUGUGUUGGUCCCAGUAGACACUGUGGUUGUGUUAUAAGCCUAUGAAACAGAAGAAAAAGAACUUCUCAGUACCAUCACCUUUAGUUUCCUUUUUAAAAUAGAUUUUGUUUUGUUUUUUCCCCUCCCUUUUCUUGGAAAACCUCUCCUGUCUCAGAAAUGAUCACAGUUUAAAUGCCUAUUUUUCCAAAGACUCUUUGUCUGAAUGAUACGUAGAUAGAAAACAGAGAGGAAAUAUUUAAGUGCCUUUUAAUUAUGAACUUAGAAAAAAUAAAUCUGUGUAAUUCACCUCACAAAAACAGUUGAUUUCAUUAUAUAAACAUAAACUGGUAAUGACAUAGUAAAUUGCAUUCGUAUAGAAAAUGUCUGUCACAAAUGCAAUUUAGUGUUUAUCACACAGAGAUAAAUUUCAAUCAUGUCUCCUUAGAGUUGAGCAACAUUAAAUGCAUUCUUCAUUUAUUUGGGCUUCUGUUGUCCUUGGCUUGGCUACAUGGCUUUUCACUGGAAGCACCUGGCUUCCUGAAGCCAGUGGCUGGGUUCUUGUAGGGCUGAAACUAUCACUAUAGGGAACUGUGGGCCAGAAUGUGGGAGAUUUUGAGUGGCAAUGGGGCUUGAAAGAGAAGCAGGACUUAAGUAUAUGCAUAGCACAAUCCUCCAGCAAUGACCUAUAUAAGGAUGACCAUGUGUUCUGAAUACCAAUGGUUCCUUGUCUUUACAUGCUUUCCUUGGGUUUGGAAGUUCUGGCUUGAAAAGGUGAGAAGCAGACAGUCUGCAAACUGAAAAACAAUAGGGCAAGCCAUGUUACUGAAGGACUGCCAAAUUGCAGGUUACUGGUACUUUAAAACAAAAACUCAUUUGCAAGCACAACUUUGCAGGUGCCAAAAAUGCAGCAAUGGCUUUUUUGGGAAAUCUUGGCCUUCUAUUGUUUUUCCCAUUGAAGUACCAAGUUAUUCUUUUUCAUAGGUUUAGAGAGAAACAUUCCACCUUCACUGCACACUUUUAAGCAAACAAUAUAUUCUGAAAUCUAAAUUCAAAGCCCCCCUCCGGAUAAAUACUGCAUUUCUACAGUUGCUUUUUUGAGAUUAGGUUGGGUAUAGCUUAGACUUGGUCUCAAGGGAUUUUCAGUCUUCUUACAGCAAAAUAAAAUGUAAUAGAAUCAAUGUUCCUCAUGCAACAUUCUUCAAAUCGGAGGAAAAAAAUGUUUUCUGUAGUAGCAUUUAGUGGGAUCCAGACAGUGUCUUCAAGGUAUAUGACAAAACAGAAGACUAGUAAUAAACAAACAAACAAAUAAAUAAAUAAAAUUUAGAAAAUUUUUAAGAAUCAAAUUCUUUAGCAUUAUACUUUUGUCUGGUGACUGUGUUUAAUUUUUAUGCAAGUAUAUGAGAAUUUGAGAGAGGAUUGUUUUGAUGGAAAGGAGUUUAGACAGUUUCUGUUCAGCAGAUGAAAACAUGGAACUGUUGUCUAAGGAAGUUGUAAUUUUUUGUUUUUUUGUUUUAAUUUUUUGUAGUUGUAGAUGGACAGCAUACCUUUAUUUUAUUUGUUUUAUUUUUAUGUGGUGCUGAGGAUCAAACCCAGUGCUUCUGCCGCUGAGCUACAGUCCCAGCCUGGAAGUUGUAGUGUUUUUAGAGCAUCUAAAUCUUAGAGGGCUACCUGGUAUGUUUUUCUAAUGUUCUGUCAUAGGGUUGCUUGAGGGAUGUCAAGUAAUAAUUAGUAGGACAAGGCUUUUAUUCACAGUUCCUCUGCUUUUUAGGGGCAUAGGAGGAAAGGAGGAGACAAGCAGAAGCCGAUGCAGAGUUCUAGUAGACUGAGCAGUUAAUGUCCAGCACUCAGAAUCUUUGACACCCUUAAGCACCUACCCUACCCAUUGCAUCUCUAGAACUUUUUUGUGGGGUGACUGGAGGUGACUCCUGUUCUUACCUGAUACACAGCCUAGGUAGGUGUCAUUUAUAGUGGUUAUAGGCAGUAGGCAAGAAGCCACGUCUUGUCUUCACUCAGAAGUGCACCAUGUGCCAAUUUCCCUUUGCCCUAAAGCACACGGGGGCCAUAGUGGUCCUGUUGUGAAAUGAGCUUGCUUUUGAGUAGGGGGGCUGCCCAAUAGAGUCUGGCUUAAGGUAGGUGAACUUGAUAUGGUUCAGCUAAAGGUAAGGCUGCUUGAUUUCUUGGAGUGGUUAUUUCUCCUAUAUUCCGGAGCCUUGAGACCAUUCAGUAGUAUGAGAGGUUUUGUGGAAUAGCUCCACUAAUGAUUUCCACCAUCAAAUUCCCUCUUAGAAGCCCAGAGGUCUAGAUAUUUACUGUAGUCCUGCCCACUCAAAACCCACCUAAGAGGAAGUUAUUUGUGGAGUAGAACUGAGCAUCCUCUAUUAUUUCUGGCUGCCCUCCCACCAUGAUUCCAGAAGUUCCUGCAUACUUAUCAUAGAUGAUAUCCUGAUUUGUAGCUCAAAAGGUAAGACAUUUUACUUAAUUUUUGAUUUUGUGUUUAAUAGCGAAAAAGCAAAACUAUAGAUGAAAGUUUCUCUUUGGAGGGAGUGAUUCAAUUAUUGGUGAAGUUAGAGGAUUUGAUUUCUAACUCCCAGGCCCACUAGAUAUAUGACCUUGAAUAGGCAAGUCACUCAGAACUUUGUGCCCCAGUUUCCUCAUGGUGUUUUUGUUUGUUUGUUUUUUGUUUUUUUUUAAUGUCUACACUAUAGAGUAAAAUGUCAAGCACUCAAAAUAGUGCUUUGGUUAAAGUAAGUCCUCUACAUAAAGCAUGAAACAAGAUUAUCAUAGGUGCAUCUUCUGCACUGAUAAAGUCAUCCAGACCAAAGAAUCUGAAGACAGGCCUUGUUUUUAGACUAGAGCACUUACAGCCUUUCUGGAGAAUGCCAGUUGGCAUGGUUCCUGUAGGGUAAUUAGAUACUGUUUGGUUACUUUAAAAAUAUAUGUCUUUUAAUUCAGUAGAACCUCAUUGACUCAAAAUUUUCCUUAGGGUAAAUGUCACAAAUGUUUGUCAAAAUACCUGUAUAAGACUUUUCCCCCCACCAAAAUAUCUAGGAAAAACUGGAAAAGUAAAAUUAUAGCCCCUCCAUUUAUUCCACUGGUGCUUAUACAACUAUUAGAAUGGACAAGGUAGAUCUAUUGAGGCAUACCUAAAAAAAGUUUCAAGUGAUAAAGAUAUAGUAGUGUCUUCUAUGGGACUCCCUUGGUGUCCAUUUACACAUAGCUGUACAUAUUUACAUAGACAGUUGUGUGUAUAUAUAUAAUUUUUUUUUCCUAUUAAAAGCACAUCUACAGGGCUGGGGAUGUGGCUCAAGCAGUAGCGUGUUCUCCUGGCAUGCGCGGGGCGCUGGGUUCGAUCCUCAGCACAACAUAAAAAUAAAAUAUAGUGUCCACCUAAAACUAAAAAAUAAAUAUUUUUUUAAAAAGCACAUCUACAAAUAAAGAUUGUAUUAAAUAGUCUUUAAGGGGGGUACAGAUCGGUGUGUCUGUUCAUAAUGAACUGAAUUUCCUGAGAAAUUCAGUUAAUGCUAGAGUGAUAAUGAGAUUACAGUUAGUGUGGGUACCUCUUAACUUCCUGCAUUUGCACACAACUAGUGGACUCUCACUUACCCUUAGGGCUGUAAGUGUAGAGAGCAGGCUUAGCACUGUAUCCUGGGUAUGUGGUAGCUCCGAGUAGGCUUCACCUUUCAUAGAGCUGGGUCCUGAGUAUGUGGUGGCCCCAAGUAGGCUUCAGCUUUUCAUAUUACUUUAGUCUGUUUUCUACAAUAGAAGACUUAAAGGAAGUCUUGCGGAAGUCUUGCUAAAGACUUGCUAAAGAAUGGCAUACCUUUCCCUGGUUUGAGGUCCCUGGAAGAAAGCCAGUAUGAAUUCAAGAAAAUCCAAAUUGAUUUUUGAAAACAUAGGUAUUUAGAUGAAGGUUUGGGCCACUAUAUUUAAUUAAUAAAAAGGAUGUUAUACUUCGUUGAUUCUAAAAUAUACCCUCCUGCAAUAAUCCCAAUAGGUAUUAACAAUCUUGAAAUGGGAAUGAGUCUUAAAAUCAAUGAUAGGAGAAAACUUUGGUUUAUGAUCUUGUUAGCAACAUCUUUUCCUUUCCCUUGUAUGAUACAAGCUACAUACAUCAGUAUUGUUCAGUAAAGGCAAAAGUUUUAAACCCAAGGCUUUGAAGUGUUGGCAAGCUUACUACCAGUUUGUUUAAAUUAGUAAGUAAAGAGUUUACAAUUUAAAAAUGUAUGAUAAGCUUCAUUAAAACUACAAAACACUGAAGAAAGAAAUUGAAGAAGACCUUUGAAGAUGGAAAGCCUCCCACAUUCUUGGACAGGCAAAAUUAAUAUUUUCAAAAUGCCCAUACUACCAAUUUCUGCAUUUCUUCACCUUUCUCAUCCCUUUUCUCUCCCUCUCCAUCUCCUAUUCCACUUAUCUUCCCUAUCUUUAUGAUAGCUGACCCCUACCCCUCUUUCCACCAUCUUACUUUAUUCUAGCUUCUGCAUAUGAGAAACUAUUCAACCCUUGACUUUCUGAUUCUGGCUUAUUUCACUUCCUAUGAUGUUGCCCAUAAUUUCUGCCAUAAUUUCAUUCUUCUUUAUGGCUGUUGUGUAUAUAUACCACAGGUUAAUCCAUUCAUCUAUUGACAGAUAAAUUGUACUGCUAUAAACAUUGUUGUGGCUAUAUCACUAUAAUAUAGUACGCUGAUUUUAGUUCUUUUAGAUAAAUGCUGAGGAGUGGGAUAGCUGGGUCAUAUGGUGGCUACAUUCCUAAAAAAAAAAUUGAGGAAUCUCCAUACUGCUUUCUAGAACAGUUGUAAUAUUUUGCAGUCCCACCAAAUGUAUGAGUGUACCUUUCCCCCACAUCCUUGUCAGCAUUUAUUAUCAUUUGCAUUCUUUUAAAAAAUUUUUAUUAGUUGUUAGUGGGCCUUUAUUUAUUUUUAUGUGGUGCUAAGAAUCAAACCCAGUGCUUCACACAUGCUAGGCAAGUGCUCUACGACUGAGCCAUACCCUCAGCCCUCUGUAUUCUUGAUAUUUGGCAUCUGACUGGAGUGAGAUGAAAUUUCAAUGUAGAUUUGAUUUGCAUCUCCCUAAUUGCUAGGGAAGUCAAACAUUUUUUUCAUAUAUUUCUUGGCCAUUUGUAUUUCUAUUUUUGAGAAGUGUCUGAUUAGUUCUUUUGCCCAUUUAUUGAUAGGAUUAUUUGGGGGUUUUAGUGUUGAGCUUGAAUUCUUUAGGUAUUCUACAUAUUAAUUUCCUGUCAGAGGAGUAGCUGGGAAAGAUUUUCUCCCAUUCUAUAGGCUCUUUCUUCACACCUUCAAUCAUUUUCUUUGCUGUGCAGAAGCUUUUAAAUGUGGCUCUAUCCCACUUAUUGAUUCUCAGUUUUAUUUCUUGAGCUUUAGGGAUCUUGUUAUGGAAGUCAGUGCCUGCACUAAUGUGAUGAUGGAGUGUUGGCCCUGUUUUCUUUUAGAAGUUGCAAAUUUUCUGGUCUGUUCCUAAGUCUUUGAUCCAUUUUGAUUUGAUUUUUGUUCAGGUAAGAUGUACAAAUCUAGUUUCAUUCUUCUACAUAUGGAUAUUCAGUUUUCUCAGUAACAUUUGUUAAAAAGGCUGUCUUUUCUCCAACAUAUAUUUUGGGCACCUUUGUCAAAUAUAUGUCUGUAUCUGUAUGUGUUUAUUUCUGUGUCUUCUGUUUUACUCCAUUUGUCUGAAUGUCUAGGUUGUGUGUGUGUUUUUUUGUUUGUUUUUUGUUUUUGGUACCAGGGACUAAACUUAGGGCCUUGUGUAUGCAAGGCAAGCACGCUCCCAACUGAGCUAUACCCCCAGCCCUCUAGCAUCACUCUUCAUGCUCACAAUUGCUUUGUCUAUUGUAGCUCUUUUAUUCUUCUAAAUGAAUUUUAGGAUUGUUUUUUCUAGUUCUGUGAAGAAUGUCAUAUAUUGAUGGGGAUUGUAUGAAAUCUGUUAUAAUACUUUUGGUAGUAUGGGCAUUUUGAAAAUGUUUGUUUUGCCUGUCCAUUAGUGUGGUGGGCUUUCUAUCUUCAUUGGUCUUUUUUCUUUUUUUUGUUCGGUGUUUUAUAUUUUUAAAGUAGACAUCUUUCACAUCCAUGUAUUUUAUUUUUUAUGUUAUUGUGAAUGGGAUACUUUUCCUGAUUGCUUUCUCAGCAAGAUCGCUAGUAGGGUAUAGGAAAGCUACUGAUUUAUGAAUGUUACUCUUUUAUCCUUCUACUUUGCUGAAUUUAUUUAUCAGCUCUUUUGGUGGCCAAGUGUGGUGGUACAUACCUGUAAUUCCAGUAGCUCGGGAGGCUAAGGUAGAGAGAUUGCAAAUUCAAAGCCAGCCUCAGCAAUUUAGUGAGGCACUAAGCAACUCAGUGAGACCCAUCUCUAAAUAAAAUACUACAGAGGGCUGGGGGUGUGGCUCAGUGGUUGAGCGCUUGCCUAGCAUGUGUGAAGCACUGGGUUUGAUUCUUAGUACCACAUAAAAUCUGGUGGGGUUUUUUUGGUCUUCUAGUUAUAGGAUCAUGUCAUUAGCAAACAGAGUUCAUUUGACUCCUUUUCCUACUUGUAUUCUUUUAAUUUCUUUUCCUUGUCUGAUUGCUCUGGCUAGAGUUUCAAGGACAAUUUUGAGUAGAAGUGGUCAGAAUAGACAUCCUUGUCUUGUUCCUGAUUUUGGAGGAAAUGCUUUCAUUUUUUUGCCAUUCAUUAUGAUGCUGGCUUUGAGUUUGUCUUGUAUAGCUUUUAUAAUGUAGAGGUAAGUUCCUUCUAUCCCUAGUUCCUUUAGCACUUUUAACAUGAUGGGAGAUGGAUUUUUAAAAAGGCCUUUUCUGCAUCUAUUGAGAUGAUCACCUGAUUCUUGUCCUUAUUUCUAUUUAUGUAGUGAAUUACAUUUAUUGAUUUGCAUAUGUUGAGUUGUACUUGCACAAUGGCAUGUAGCCCAUGUGAUCUUGGCAUAGUAUCCUCUUGAUGUGUUUUUGACUGUGGUUUCCUAAUACUUUGUUAUUUUUGUAUUUAUGUUCAUCAGGGAUAUUGGUCUAUAGUUUCCUUUCCUUGAUGUAUCUUUGUUUUGGUGUCAGGGUUAUACAGGCUUCAUAGGGUAUAUUUGGGAGUGUUCCCUCCCUUUCAGUCUCAUGGAAUAAUUUGAAGAAGGUUGGUAUUAGUUCUUCAUUAAAGAUUCAGUAAAACUCUGCUGAGACUCUAUCUGGUCCUGGGUUUUCUUUGUUGGAAGACUUUUAAUUGCUCUUUCAAUUAUAUUGCUUGACACCAUUUGACCCAGCCAUCCCUCUCCUUGGUCUAUACCCAAAGGACUUAAAACAGCAUACUACAGAGACACGGCCACAUCAAUGUUUAUAGGCGCACUAUUCACUAUUGCUAAUUUUUUGAACGAAUGUAGGUGCUCUUCAAUGGUUGCAUGGAUUUGGGGGAAAGGUGCCGUGGUAUAUUUGUUGGGACUGGAAUAUUUUUCAGCUGUUCUAGAGAGUAGUAUCAUGGCAUUUGCAGGUAAAUGGAUGAAGUUAGAGAAGAUAUUGUCAAUCCCAAAAAAACAAAUCCCAAAUGUUUUCUUUGAUAUAAAGAGGCUGAUUUAUAGUGGGAUAGGGAGCAGGAGCAUGGUAGGAACAUAUGAACUCUAGGUAGGGCAGAGGGGUUGAAGGGGAAGGGAGGGGUCAUGGGGUAAUGAUGGUAGAAUGUGAUGAUCAUUUCUAUCCAGGUAAUGAAGACAUGGAUUGGUGUGAAUAUACUAUGUAUACAACCAGAGAUAUGAAAAUUUGUGCUCUAUAUAUGUAAUAAAAAUUGUAAUGCAUUCUGCUGUCAUAUAAAUUAAAAAAUUUUAUUGCUUGAUACUGGUCUGUUUAAAUUUUCUAUAUCUUCCUGGUUCAAUUUGGGCAGGUCAUAUGUGCGUAGAAAUUUGUUUCUUCUGGAUUUUCCUUUUAGAGUAUAAAGUUUCAGAAUAGUUUCUAAUAAUCCUCCGGAUUUCAGAAGUAUCUAUGUUGGUAUCUCCUUUUUCAUUUCUAGUUUUGUUAAUUUGGGUAUUUCAUUUGGUUAGUUAGGGUUUAUCAAUCUUGCUUAUCUUUUCAAAGAACCAACUCUUUAUUACAUUAAUCUUUUGUAUUUUUUUCCUUCUCAGUUUCAUUAAUUUUGGCUCUGAUCUUAAUUAUUUUCUGUCUUCUACUGAUUUUGCCAUUAGUUUGUUAUUCCUUUUUAAAACCUUGAGGUAUAGCAUUAGGUUAUUUAUUUGAGAUCUUUUCUAUUUUUUUUUUUUUAACAUAGGCACUCAAUGCUAUACACUUUUUUCUUAACACUGCCUUCAUGUUGUUCCAGAGAUUUUGUUAUUUUGUAUUUCUGUUGUCAUUUAUUUCCAAGAAUUUUUUUAUUUCUUCUAUGAGUCGUUCCUCAUUUAAGAGUAUUAUUUAAUCUCCAUAUGUUUAUGUGGUUUCUAUAAUUUUUCUUAUUGUUGAUUUUUCAUUCCAUUAUGAUCUGAUAGAAUGUGCUAGAUUAUAUCGUUUUUUUGUUUUGUUUUGUUUUGCUAAGACUUACAUUUUGAUCAAGCAUAUGUUCUAUUUUGGAAAAGGUUCCAUGAGCUGCUGAGAAGAAAGUGAAUUCAGCUGUUUUCAGGUGAAAUAGUCUGUAGAUAUCUGUAGAUCCAUUUAAUUUAUAGUAUCAUUUAGGUCAGAAAUUUGAUUUUGUUUAGAUGACCUGUCCAUUGGUGAAAGGACUGUGUUGAAAUCUCACAGUAUUAUUGUAUUGGGGUCUCUCUGGGAUUUACUAGCAAGAAGUUUUUGUUCAUUUGUUUACAUAAUUAGGUGCACUAACAUUUGGGGCUUACAUGCUUACUACCCUUAAAUCUUCUGGUUGGAGUGUUCCCUUUAUCAAUAGUGGUGACUUUCUUUCUGUCUUCUGAUUAAUUUUUGCUUAAAAUCUGCUCUGUUAGAUAUGAGAGAGAAUAGCUAAUCCUGCUUGUUUUCAGACUCAAUUUGCUUGGAAUCCCUCCCCCAUUCUUUUACAUUCUGUCUGUGUAUAUCUUUGCCUCUUGUAAACAGCAUAUAGUUGGGUCUUAUUUUUUAAUCCAUUCAGCCCUUUUAACUGGGGAGUUGAGACCAUUUACAUUCAGUGUUUUUAUAGAUAGCUGUUUGUUAUUUUAUGCCAUUUUGGUUUGUUUGCCACAUUUAAUUCAGUCUUUAUUUUCAUUUAGUUAGUUUCUCUUUUAGUGAACAUCAUCUAUGUGGGAGCUCUGGGGUUUAUUUUUGAGUUCUGCAUGUAGUAUAUCUUUGUCGUGGAAAGUUUUUAUUUCUGCAUGAAAUUUGAAAGAUAGCUUUGCUUGGAUGUAGGGAUCUUGGAUGGCAGUUGUUUUCUUGUGGAGCUUGAAAUAUCUCAUUCUAAGCCCUCCUUGAUUCUAGGGUCUGAAUUGAGAAGUCAGAAGUGAGCCUCAUUGGUUUGCCUUUAAAUAUGACCUGACUUUUUUUCUUCUAGCUUUUAAUAUUUUUAUUCUCUGUUAGGCAUUUUGAUUAUGAUGUGUCUUGGAGAGGUUCUUUUUUGAUCUUGUCUUUUUGAGGUUCUGUUAUAAGCAUCUUAUAUGUGGAUGUCUAUCUCAUUUCUGAAGUUAGGAAAAUUUUCUGCAGCUAGGUCACUAAGAGGUUCUCAAUAUCAUUAGCCUGUAUCUACAUGUUCUCUUCUGUCCCAGUGAAUUUCAGGUUUGUUACAUUGAAUUUUCCCAGUUGUAUAUUUUUAUAUUCUUAUAUCCUAUGUUGAAGAUCUGAAGUUGUCUUCUAGACAGCCUAAUCUGUUUAGUGACACUUCCAAGUGAUAAUUUAAUUCAUGUGUCUCUACCAUUUCCAGGAUUUUGAUUGGUUUCUUUUCAGUAUCUAUCUCCAUUUCCUUAUUGAAAUGUGCUUUCACCUCCUGUACUUGCUCUUAACUUGUUCCCUAGAUCUUUUUAUUUUAUCAUUUUAUAGCCUGUCUCUGGGAUUUCCUUCACUUCCAUAUAUAUCAGUUCCUUUGGGGGAUUGUGAAUUUUGGGGAGAUGUUUGCCUGUUUCUUCAUGAAUUGUGUAUCAGUUAAUUUCCUCUUUCUUUUUAUGCAUUUGUUCUUUGGUAUGUAGUUUUUUGUUUUGUUUUGUUUUUUUGGGGGUUUUUUUUGUUUUGUUUUGUUUUUGGUGGUGGUGGUUGUUUUGUUCUAUUAACAAAUGAGUUGAUAUCCAGGAGUAGAACCUGAGGUCUCUCUCUAGUAGUUCCUAUUUGGGGCCUGGUCAUUGCUUUUAUUGUCUCCCUUAUUCUCUGUGUUGAGAUAGUGUUGAGGCUCUAGCAGGGCUAGCUCAUAUAUCGAGUGAGGUUUGCUGUUUUGUGGUUGAUUUGUUGAGUGUUGCUCAGCAGCAGGAUCUCCACUCUGUGAACUCGAAGUAUCCUAAUCACUUCCCAGCCCCUCUUAGAGAAAGGGGGAGCAAGUUAUAGCAUUAAUGUUAGCAAUCAUUGUUAAGCCUUAAAAUAAAUGUCCUGUGUCUACUUUGACAUCUAUAACAUGAAUUAGCACCUGUAGAGGAAUGGUGGGGUCAGCAUUUAACAUCAGCACCAAUAAUAAGUAACCAUGAACUAGAUCAGACAUUAAAUAGCAGAUGUCUACUACCUCAUCCACUGUAUUAAUAAUCACAAAAACACGAAUGGGGUAGGAAUUACAUAAACUGUGAAAUUCUAUCAGCUAGUGGGAUACAGUUUCUUAAGAGAAAAAUAGAGUAGGAUGGCAAGAGAAAUUUUGGAUAUAUUUAAAAGUGAACAGAGGAAAAGCAGGUAGCAUAUGACAGAUAUAAAGGAGGAGCAGAACAUAACUAAAAGUAAUAAAGCAGAGGAAGAGGGAACCGAACAGUUUGGCUAUAAGUGGGGGAAGAGAGUGAAGAAAACUUGCAAUCAAAAAAAAGAUCAAAACAAAUCAUACCCAUGUAAAAUUUUAUCCCCAACCAAAGCCUUAUUCUAAAGCUAAAUAAUAAAUGAAGAAAGCAGUUAAGAUGAAAGAAAAAUUUUAUACACACAUACAUAUAUAAUCAGCACAGCAGGAACACACAAUCAUAUAGAUUGGAAAAAAGUAAAAAAAAAAAAAUUACAAAAAGGAAAAAUAGGGGAAAUAAGGGAAAAAAAUUAAUGAGAAAUAAAGGGGUUUUUUUCCACUGCAGUGGUUUAAACUGUUGGCAGGAAUGGAUGUUCAUUAUUUAUACUGUUGUGUAUUUUUCAGUGUUGGGGAUCUGUGACCCUUAUGUCAAGGACUGGGGGUUGUUAAGUCCCCCUUCUUUUUUGUUUCUCAUCAAGCUGCCAGCUGUGAAUGGCCAGGAGCCAAAGUUAGUUUUAGUAAUUCUCAGCUUCCUGUCUCAGUGUGGGAUGGGAUAAACAUGGGACUGCUGACAAAUGAUGUACUUCCAUAGUGGGGCUCGCUAGUACAGAGGUAUAAAUUAGAAGGUGGGUAUAAUCUUGGCUAACCUUUGGAACUCUUUUUGAGUAUCUGAGAUUUCACCACAUACCCUGUUGCUGGGCAGAUGCCAAUCUCUGCUGGGCACCUGUGGCCUCCUGAAAUUCUACUUUCAGGGUGAGGAGUCAGAACCUCCCAAGGCCUGACAUAUUCACUGCCAUGGAUGUGAAUUAUCCAGGAUCAGACCUGGAAUGCAGAGCUGACUGGUUACUGGCAUCUUUCCAGGUACUUACUUGCAUUGGGCACCAAUAACCAAAGAGACUUGGUCUCCUCAGUAUCCCAGCCUGAAUUGCCUUACACAAAAUUCUCAUUGUGCCUGUUUCAAUGAUGCUGGUCCAGGUACCCUCUGAAUCCCACAAUGGGCAACUGCUGGGUCAAGCUGGCAACAUCUUUUUAUGAGUUCCAUCCCACCUCUGCUCACUGCUAUGUGGCCACUUAAAAAUGGUUCCCACCAGACUCUCCACCCAUUAGCCAAGUGAUUUUGGUUGUUUUUCACUCACCCAUUGUCUCUGGGUUUGGUUAAGAUCAGCCUGCUUCUCUAUUCUACAAGUUCCCCCAAGCCAAUGUUAUUCACCAUGCUUUCCCUGUCUGAUUUUGUUACUGUCCAGUGUUGAAUUUCAGUGAAUUCCCUUAGUCACCUACCUCACUAAAGUGGUAUUACCACUGUUUAAAUCAUGAGCUGAUGAACUGCUGGGGAUUGUACCCUUCUUCUAACUCACCAUCUUUCUAUCUGUCAUGAUUUUUUAAGAGGCUAAAAUAUGGUAUGAACUGUAUUGUGGUAAUCUAUCUUUCCCUUCUGUAAGAAUUCUGACUUUCCUAAUGUUGUUGUUGUGUUAUUGUUUUUUUUUUUUUUUUAAACCAACAGUUCUUUCACAUCAUUGGUUAUUUCUCAUUGUGAUUUUCAUCUUGCUUCAUCAUACUUGCAGGCUCAUAACAGAGAUCCUUCCUGCAGUCUUAUGGGAAAUUGUGAUAGGAAGGUUCUCGUGACCCACGGGGCAUUGUGCAGCCUGUAGACUUGCAAUGCAGUGGCUCUAUUCUUUGUUAGGUUCCACUUGGUUCUGUCUCACCUUGAGAUGAGAAGAAAUUAUGUGUACCAUGAGAGGGUUCCUAAAUACUUCACUCUAUCAGCCUCCUCCAGAGGAAGCUUAAACCUGCUUUCCAGCACUUCUUUCUCAGGGCUAUAAUGGCUUCUGAAUAUGAGUAGCAUCUCCUGGAGGGAGAGUGGAGACUGGAUGGAUAAAGCCUAACAGUCAACACAUGUCCUUCUGAUUGAGAUUUCAGAAUGUGUGGUCAGUGAAAUCAGUUAAGAGUUAUACCAUGAGCAAUUUCAUGUUUCGGGUAUUUUAAGAGGUCAAAUUGUUACUUCCCUUCCAAACGUUGUCAUUUGUAAUUUGACUGAGUAUGUUGGUGGAGGCUGUGAGGAAAGGGAUAGUGGCUUCUGAAGUUGAUUGAAUCAGAAACCUAUCCUGAAUAAUGACAUGUUCAAAGCAUUAGAAAACCAGAGCUGGUCAGGAGAAAAAUACCAAUAUUUGUUUCUUAAAGAUUGCAUUUGCCAUCAUUAUUCUGGCUUUUCCAAAGGACCAUUAAUACUCACCUGUUAUACCAGACACUGCUUCUACGAGUUCUUACAUGCCUUUUGAAGACUUCUUUAUGAGUAGAAGGGACAUAGCCAGAUGAUGACCUGAGGAUUUACCAUAUUGCCACUUAUUGCAGCCAUCAUUUGGACUAUUUGCUGGUGGUCUCUGCAGUUGUGGGUCAAUAAGAGUACCUCCUUCUCCCAUUCUAAGUCAUUCCCUACAGAUCUGCCUGGGCCUUUUUUUUUUUUUUUUUUAAUGCAACAUCUUUUUAAGAAAAAAUUUGUAGUUGUAGAUGUACAGAAUGCCUUUAUUUUAUUUGUUUAUUUUUAUGUAGUACUGAGGAUUGAACUUAGCGCCUCAUGCAUGCUAAGCAAGCGUUCUGCCACUGAGCUACAGCCCCUUGGUCAUUGUAAUGGCUGCAUAGGACAUGUAACUCAUUAUCCACUCAUCCUUUGGACAUUUGUUAUUCUAUUUAUAGAUGAAGUUGAAAGUGAGCCCCUUGCUCUGAGUUGGUUUAUUUUUGUGGUACUGGGGAUUGAACGUAGGAGCACUCGACCACUGAGCUACAGCCCCAUCCCUUUUUAUGUUGAAAUAGGGUCUUGCUAAGUUGCUAAGACUGGCCUCACACUUGUAAUCCUCCUGACAUGACCUCCCCAGUAUCUGUGAUUACAUAGGAAUUAUAGCUAUGAGCCACUGUGCUCAGUUGCUCUGAGGUUCUUGAAAAUCAGUUUUAAGCUUUUUGCUUUGAGGAGAAUACUUUUGAACCUUCCACAUCCCACUAUAUGACUUGGAGGAACUUCUUGUCAGUCUAACAGAAUUCACAGGUUUCCCGCCUCUAGGGGUCCUGCAGAUAUCACAAUAGACCCAACCCAUCUAUGUACCACGAGAGGGUUCCUAAAUACUUCACUCCAUCAGCCUCCUCCAGAAGAGGCUUAAACUUGCUUUCCAGCACUUCUUUCUCAGGGCUAUAAUGGCUUCUGAAUAUGAGUAGCAUCUCCUGGAGGGAGAGUGGAGACUGGAUGGAUAAUGCCUAACAGUCAACACAUGUCCUUCUGAUUGAGAUUUCAGAAUGUGUGGUCAGUGAAAUUAGUAAAGGAAGAUGAGUUCUUAAAGUUUCUGUGAUAAGAAUUUUCUGUAUGGCUUAUAAAACAAUGGUGCCUAAAAGAUGGGCAUUUCUCCUUUAAAAACCUGGAAUGAAGAGUGUUAUUCUGGUAGUGACCACAGGUUAAGUUUCUGUGGAACAGUUCAUCAGGUACCUUCAGUGAAGUGGUGCACAAAGUGUUUGACAUUGUGGUUGGCACCAAGCACACAAUCAGUAAAUGACAGAUACCAAGUUAUAAUGAUUGUCUUCUAGUGAAAGGCCCCCUUCCUCAUUCAGCUUUUUGCUUAUUCCUCAGAGAAUCACAUUUUGGAAGAUGUGAACAAAUGUGUCAUUGCUCUCCAAGAGAAAGAUGUGGAUGGUCUGGACCGCACAGCUGGUGCAAUUCGAGGUCGGGCAGCCCGGGUCAUUCAUGUAGUCACCUCUGAGAUGGACAACUAUGAGCCAGGAGUCUACACAGAGAAAGUUCUAGAAGCCACCAAGCUGCUCUCCAACACAGGUGCGGGGACUCUCCCUCCAUAGUGCUUCACACAUGGCCU